GUGUCAGCCGCCGCGGUAAUACGUAGGGAGCAAGCGUUGUUCGGAUUUACUGGGCGUAAAGGGCGCGUAGGCGGCGCGGUAAGUCACUUGUGAAAUCUCUGAGCUUAACUCAGAACGGCCAAGUGAUACUGCAGUGCUAGAGUGCAGAAAGGGCAAUCAGAAUUCUUGGUGUAGCGGUGAAAUGCGUAGAUAUCAAGAGGAAUACCUGAGGCGAAGGCGGGUUGCUAGGCUGACACUGACGCUGAGGCGCGAAAGCUAGGGGAGCAAACGGGAUUAGAAACCCCCGUAGUCC
rnacentral:rRNA from 1 species